rnacentral:rRNA from 1 species
UACGUAGGGUGCGAGCGUUGUCCGGAAUUAUUGGGCGUAAAGAGCUCGUAGGCGGUCUGUCGCGUCUGCUGUGAAAUCCCGAGGCUCAACCUCGGGCUUGCAGUGGGUACGGGCAGGCUAGAGUGCGGUAGGGGAGAAUGGAACUCCUGGUGUAGCGGUGGAAUGCGCAGAUAUCAGGAGGAACACCGGUGGCGAAGGCGGAUCUCUGGGCCGAUACUGACGCUGAGGAGCGAAAGCGUGGGGAGCGAACAGG